CCUGCGGAGGGAUCAUUGCUGGAACGCGCCCCAGGCGCACCCAGAAACCCUUUGUGAACUUAUACCUUACUGUUGCCUCGGCGCAUGCCGGCCCCCCUGGGGGCCCCUCCUUCUGGAGGAGCAGGCACGCCGGCGGCCAACCCAACUCUUGUUUUUACACUGAAACUCUGAGAAUAAAACAUAAAUGAAUCAAAACUUUCAACAACGGAUCUCUUGGUUCUGGCAUCGAUGAAGAACGCAGCGAAAUGCGAUAAGUAAUGUGAAUUGCAGAAUUCAGUGAAUCAUCGAAUCUUUGAACGCACAUUGCGCCCUCUGGUAUUCCGGAGGGCAUGCCUGUUCGAGCGUCAUUUCAACCCUCAAGCCUGGCUUGGUGAUGGGGCACUGCCUGUAAAAGGGCAGGCCCUGAAAUUCAGUGGCGAGCUCGCCAGGACCCCGAGCGCAGUAGUUAAACCCUCGCUUUGGAAGGCCCUGGCGGUGCCCUGCCGUUAAACCCCCAACUUCUGAAAAUUUGACCUCGGAUCAGGUAGGAAUACCCGCUGAACUUAAGCAUAUCAAA
rnacentral:rRNA from 1 species